GUCACCACUUGCUAAGUCAGGUGGAGUCCCCAUUCCGGGAGCAGCUCUUCCGCUCAGCCACCUCCGCAGCCUGCUGGACGCACUUGAGCCAGUUUACUUGCUUCUAGGCCGUGUGUAUGCCAGCCUCCUUUCCCCGCCCCUGAGGCUGAGUCGCUUUAAAGCAGGGAGAGUGUCCCAUCGCAGGGUCCUGGCCUCCCCACCCUGCUCUGGUCUCCACUUCUCUCUGCUUUCCCUGCUCCUCUGACUCCCGCUCAGAGAAGACUAUGGACGAGAAGACUACGGACAAGAUGCCGACUCCUGAAGCCCCCCUCCCUCCUGGCUCCCCAUGGGAACCCUGUGAGGAGACAGACUCUAAGCUGACACAGACUCCUCCUGACUCCUCCUUCCUCCAUUCACCUGUGUUGGUCCUUCUGCGCUGAAAAGUUCCUCUAUUCCUAGGACCACCCACUGCAGCUGCACCUCACACAUCAUUCUGGUUACCACCUACUCUAGCCCCCAACUCCAGAUCACACCUGCCCCCAGUUUGGCACCUCUCUAACACAUUCUGCUAUAGAGAGUGUCUUGCCCCUCCUUAGGUUUUCAUGGACGCUGGUUGACUCCACUCUUGGCUUUUGGGACCCCAGCUGUGCCCAGUCCUUCCCCCACCCCAGUCCCUGGACCCAAGGUCUUUACCAUUGGCACAGCUUGCCUGUGGCCCUGGAGGUGGCUCCCUGAAGAGGUCAGGUUGUGCUCUGCUCUGAGUCCUUGCAUAUUAUAUGAAACAAUAGUUUUCAGGCAGUGCCUUCUCUGAGAGACUCCGUUUAAUACUCUCCCUGUAUUUGCUAAGCUGUGACCCUCCCCUAAUUAUCACUUCUCUUCAUUUUGAGUAUAAAUGCCAAGACUGGAUGACUCUGUGUCGUUUGCACAAGUAAACAGUCACCAUCUGUCCAGCACAAUCCAUGAGGCACAGGCUAAUAUAUAACUUAUUUACACAAAUAAAAUAUUAACACUAGA